CGUGUGCUUACAAGUAGUCAGAGCCCGUUAAUGGGUGAUGGCGUGCCUUUUGUAGAAUGAACCGGCGAGUUACGAUUUGAUGCAAGGUUAAGCAGUAAAUGUGGAGCCGUAGCGAAAGCGAGUCUGAAUAGGGCGUUUAGUAUUUGGUCGUAGACCCGAAACCAGGUGAUCUACCCUUGGUCAGGUUGAAGUUCAGGUAACACUGAAUGGAGGACCGAACCGACUUACGUUGAAAAGUGAGCGGAUGAACUGAGGGUAGCGGAGAAAUUCCAAUCGAACCUGGAGAUAGCUGGUUCUCUCCGAAAUAGCUUUAGGGCUAGCCUCAAGUGAUGAUUAUUGGAGGUAGAGCACUGUUUGGACGAGGGGCCCCUCUCGGGUUACCGAAUUCAGACAAACUCCGAAUGCCAAUUAAUUUAACUUGGGAGUCAGAACAUGGGUGAUAAGGUCCGUGUUCGAAAGGGAAACAGCCCAGACCACCAGCUAAGGUCCCAAAAUAUAUGUUAAGUGGAAAAGGAUGUGGCGUUGCCCAGACAACUAGGAUGUUGGCUUAGAAGCAGCCAUCAUUUAAAGAGUGCGUAAUAGCUCACUAGUCGAGUGACACUGCGCCGAAAAUGUACCGGGGCUAAACAUAUUACCGAAGCUGUGGAUUGUCCUUUGGACAAUGGUAGGAGAGCGUUCUAAGGGCGUUGAAGCAUGAUCGUAAGGACAUGUGGAGCGCUUAGAAGUGAGAAUGCCGGUGUGAGUAGCGAAAGACGGGUGAGAAUCCCGUCCACCGAUUGACUAAGGUUUCCAGAGGAAGGCUCGUCCGCUCUGGGUUAGUCGGGUCCUAAGCUGAGGCCGACAGGCGUAGGCGAUGGAUAACAGGUUGAUAUUCCUGUACCACCUAUAAUCGUUUUAAUCGAUGGGGGGACGCAGUAGGAUAGGCGAAGCGUGCGAUUGGAUUGCACGUCUAAGCAGUAAGGCUGAGUAUUAGGCAAAUCCGGUACUCGUUAAGGCUGAGC
rnacentral:rRNA from 4 species